rnacentral:lncRNA from 1 species
AAUUGAAUCACAAAAAUAAUUAAAGAUCAGAUUAUGAAACUAGAAUUUAAGAGGAAAUUUUUGCAAUUGGUCCCAUAUUUUUGUGAUUCCAAAUAAAAGAGUUAUUAAUUUUUGAAAAUAAAUGAAAUAAAACAAAAAUAAAACAAAAAAAAAUAUGAAAAAACCACAGCGCUCAGAUCCACUUUCAUUAAUUGACGUGGAUGAUCCUAAGGCCAUGAGGCGCACGUGCAUGGUGUUCACAAGUCAAAUGC